rnacentral:rRNA from 1 species
UGGGGAAUCUUGGACAAUGGGCGAAAGCCUGAUCCAGCAAUGCCGCGUGUGUGAAGAAGGCCUUCGGGUUGUAAAGCACUUUUGUCCGGAAAGAAAUCCUUGGCUCUAAUACAGUCGGGGGAUGACGGUACCGGAAGAAUAAGCACCGGCUAACUACGUGCCAGCAGCCGCGGUAAUACGUAGGGUGCAAGCGUUAAUCGGAAUUACUGGGCGUAAAGCGUGCGCAGGCGGUUUGCUAAGACCGAUGUGAAAUCCCCGGGCUCAACCUGGGAACUGCAUUGGUGACUGGCAGGCUAGAGUAUGGCAGAGGGGGGUAGAAUUCCACGUGUAGCAGUGAAAUGCGUAGAGAUGUGGAGGAAUACCGAUGGCGAAGGCAGCCCCCUGGGCCAAUACUGACGCUCAUGCACGAAAGCGUGGGGGAGCAAACAGGAUUCAGAUACCCUGGUAGUCCACGCCCUAAACGAUGUCAACUAGUUGUUGGGGAUUCAUUUCCUUAGUAACGUAGCUAACGCGUGAAGUUGACCGCCUGGGGAGUACGGUCGCAAGAUUAAAACUCAAAUGAAUUGACGGGGUCAUAGCUGUUUCCU